rnacentral:miRNA from 1 species
UGGUGUAAAUUUUACUCCUUAAGUAGAGUUGUUUUUACUCUUUGAGGAGUAAAAACAACUCUACUUAUGGAGUAAAAUUUACACCAAA